rnacentral:rRNA from 1 species
GGUUAAGCGACUAAGCGUACACGGUGGAUGCCCUGGCAGUCAGAGGCGAUGAAGGRCGUGCUAAUCUGCGAUAAGCGCCGGUAAGGUGAUAUGAACCGUUAUAACCGGCGAUWYCCGAAUGGGGAAACCCAGUGUGAYUCGUCACACUAUCAUUAACUGAAUCCAUAGGUUAAUGAGGCGAACCGGGGGAAC